rnacentral:misc_RNA from 1 species
GUUAUUUGAUUUAUUUCAAAAAUAUAUGUUCAGUCAAACAAUUAAAGGCUAGGGUUGAGUAAAAACUUUUGGCAAACCGUCCCUCAAAAGAGAAAAAAGUCUGCCAAAGCAUAGAUGGGGUUCAAUAAAAGUGCACACGGUGGAUGACCAAAUGGUUUGGGAGAGGGGGUUUGGAACCCCCUCUCCUUUAUAUUUUUAAUGAUCCUUCCGCAGGUUCACCUACGGAAA